UACGUAGGUGGCAAGCGUUGUCCGGAUUUAUUGGGUUUAAAGGGUGCGUAGGCGGUCUAUUAAGUCAGUGCUGAAAUAUCCCGGCUUAACCGGGAGGGUGGCAUUGAUACUGAUGGACUUGAGUAAAGUUGAGGUUGGCGGAAUUGACGGUGUAGCGGUGAAAUGCUUAGAUAUCGUCAAGAACACCUAUUGCGAAGGCAGCUAACUAGCUUAAACUGACGCUGAGGCACGAAAGUGUGGGGAUCAAACAGG
rnacentral:rRNA from 1 species